UACGAAGGGGGCUAGCGUUGUUCGGAAUUACUGGGCGUAAAGGGCGCGUAGGCGGUGUGUCAAGUCAGGCGUGAAAGCCCCGGGCUCAACCUGGGAACAGCGCUUGAGACUGGCACGCUCGAGUUCGGGAGAGGAUGGUGGAAUUCCCAGUGUAGAGGUGAAAUUCGUAGAUAUUGGGAAGAACACCAGUGGCGAAGGCGGCUCACUGGCCCGGUACUGACGCUGAUGUGCGAAAGCGUGGGGAGCAAACAGG
rnacentral:rRNA from 1 species